rnacentral:piRNA from 1 species
UCCAGAUAUAGACUGGGCAGCACUCAUAU